CUGGCCUCAAGUGAUCUGCCCACCUUGGCCUCCUAAAGUGCCGGGAUUACAGGGCACUGCACGUGCUCCCUGGCCUUUUGCCUUCUUUGAUGUCAUUACCUGCCUGAGCCUUUGCUGAACCUGAGCGCCGGUGAUGGAGAAGUGCCUUUUGUUUUGAAGAAGUCCACCCUGAGAGAGAGAUAUCAUUGACUUUGUAAGAAGGGGCUUGGGUUGGAUUUGGGGAGCCAUUUGAAGGACACCCUACGUGAGCACUGGGACAAGCUGCUGCUCUGGGAAACAUUUCUCCCCCUUGCCACUCUGGGCUGCCCAUCUAUUGAACAGAGCCUGCUGCUGCUUCUCUGUUCUCCCAUCUCUCUUAAAUUGUAUGGUUUUCACCUUCCCCUGGUGGAGUGGAGUAUCUCUGUAUCUUGUCUGAUUUCUUCAUGCUAGAUGUUGGGCAGGAGGCACACGUGAAAUGAAUAAAGACUGGUCACCCAGAGCUUUCAGGGAGGUGCUCACUACCCUGAGAUGCCAGGAGCUCCUGAGAAGAGUGGAUAGGUGUGAGAAUGAACUCUCUGAAUUUGAAAUAAAGUACAGCAGCAGCA